UACGAAGGUGGCAAGCGUUGUUCGGAUUUACUGGGCGUACAGGGAGCGUAGGCGGUUGGAUGAGCCCUCCGUGAAAUCUCCAGGCUUAACCUGGAAAGUGCAGAGGGGACUGUUCAGCUAGAGGAUGGGAGAGGAGCGCGGAAUUCCCGGUGUAGCGGUGAAAUGCGUAGAGAUCGGGAGGAAGGCCGGUGGCGAAGGCGGCGCUCUGGAACAUUUCUGACGCUGAGGCUCGAAAGCGUGGGGAGCAAACAGG
rnacentral:rRNA from 1 species